AUCCUUUGGUUCAUGAGUGUGGUAACUGGACGUUCAUGUCACAUGCCAGAGAUGUGCCUCCCUCAAACUUAGUUAUGACAUCAGCACGUUGCCCAGCUGAUG
rfam:Fukomys damarensis contig153341, whole genome shotgun sequence.